GCCCUGGUGGUCUAGUGGUUAAGAUUCAGCACUCUCACCGCUGUGGCCCGGGUUCAUUUCCUGGUCAGGAAA
rfam:Equus caballus chromosome 7, whole genome shotgun sequence.